CAGGAUUCCCCUAGUAACUGCGAGUGAAGCGGGAAAAGCUCAAAUUUCAAAUCUGGCGGUCAUGCCGUCCGAGUUGUAUUCUGGAGAAGCGUUUUCCGUGCCGGACCGUGUACAAGUCCCUUGGAACAGGGCGUCGUAGAGGGUGAGAAUCCCGUCUUUGACACGGACCACCGGNGCUAUGCGAUGCGCUCUCGACGAGUCGAGUUGUUUGGGAAUGCAGCUCAAAAUGGGUGGUAAAUUCCAUCUAAAGCUAAAUAUUGGCGAGAGACCGAUAGCGAACAAGUACCGUGAGGGAAAGAUGAAAAGCACUUUGGAAAGAGAGUAAAACAGUACGUGAAAUUGUUGAAAGGGAAACGCUUGAAGUCAGUCGCGUCUGCCGGAACUCAGCCUUGCUUCUGCUUGGCGCACUUUCCGGCCCGACGGGCCAGCAUCGNUUUUGGGUGUCGGACACUGGCGAGGGGAAGGUGGCAGCUCCGGCUGUGUUAUAGCCCCUCGUCGCAAACGCCGCCUGGGACCGAGGAAUCCGGCGCAAGCCUGGGAUGCUGGCGUAAUGGCUUUAAACGACCCGUCUUGAAACACGGACCAAGGAGUGCUACGUGCUCGCGAGUGUUUGGGUGGAAAACCCAGACGCGCAAUGAAAGUGAAAGUCGAUACCCCUUGCGGGGGCACCGACGCCCGAGCCUGAUGUUUUCGGAAGGCCUUGCGGUAGAGCGAGUGCGUUGCGACCCGAAAGAUGGUGAACUAUUCCUGAGCAGGGCGAAGCCAGAGGAAACUCUGGUGGAGGCUCGUAGCGGUUCUGACGUGCAAAUCGAUCGCAGGACUUGGGUAUAGGGGCGAAAGACUAAUCGAACCNAU
rnacentral:rRNA from 1 species